GCAUGAAAAGGGGUUGUGUUUUUGGUGUCAAUAAAGGCGGAUAUGUAGGCAUUUAUUCAUGGGAUGGUAUCUCAGGGAACGUUUAUGAUAUCUUUGCAUAGGUAUCUAGUCUCUCAUGGCUAUAAGAGAUUGAAAGGCUUCAAACCCCUACCAUCUCCUCCUGGUUCUCUGGUUUUCCAUAGUCCUAUUGAUUCUUGGUUGGUCUUUUAAAGAUCUGGGUUGAUGUCUUGUGUGGGGGGAUUUGCUGUUUUUUCACCUUGCAUGGCUUUGACGAGAGAGGCACCCCUUGUUAUGCGAUCGUUGAAUGGUUUCUCGUCUCUCUUAACUCUAAAAGGUUGAUGGGCAACAAGGUUGAAGCUUAAAUUUUGCCAGAUCUGUCUUCUUCAAG
rnacentral:misc_RNA from 1 species